GGGUUGUGAGGUUAAGCGACUAAGCGUACACGGUGGAUGCCCUGGCAGUCAGAGGCGAUGAAGGGCGUGCUAAUCUGCGAUAAGCGCCGGUAAGGUGAUAUGAACCGUUAUAACCGGCGAUACCCGAAUGGGGAAACCCAGUGUGACUCGUCACACUAUCAUUAACUGAAUCCAUAGGUUAAUGAGGCGAACCGGGGGAACUGAAACAUCUAAGUACCCCGAGGAAAAGAAAUCAACCGAGAUUCCCCCAGUAGCGGCGAGCGAACGGGGAGGAGCCCAGAGCCUGAAUCAGCAUGUGUGUUAGUGGAAGCGUCUGGAAAGGCGCGCGAUACAGGGUGACAGCCCCGUACACAAAAGCGCAUGUGCUGUGAGCUCGAUGAGUAGGGCGGGACACGUGGUAUCCUGUCUGAAUAUGGGGGGACCAUCCUCCAAGGCUAAAUACUCCUGACUGACCGAUAGUGAACCAGUACCGUGAGGGAAAGGCGAAAAGAACCCCGGCGAGGGGAGUGAAAAAGAACCUGAAACCGUGUACGUACAAGCAGUGGGAGCACAGGUUUACCUGUGUGACUGCGUACCUUUUGUAUAAUGGGUCAGCGACUUAUAUUCUGUAGCAAGGUUAACCGUAUAGGGGAGCCGUAGGGAAACCGAGUCUUAACCGGGCGUUAAGUUGCAGGGUAUAGACCCGAAACCCGGUGAUCUAGCCAUGGGCAGGUUGAAGGUUGGGUAACACUAACUGGAGGACCGAACCGACUAAUGUUGAAAAAUUAGCGGAUGACCUGUGGCUGGGGGUGAAAGGCCAAUCAAACCGGGAGAUAGCUGGUUCUCCCCGAAAGCUAUUUAGGUAGCGCCUCGUGAAUUCAUCUCCGGGGGUAGAGCACUGUUUCGGCUAGGGGGCCAUCCCGGCUUACCAACCCGAUGCAAACUGCGAAUACCGGAGAAUGUUAUCACGGGAGACACACGGCGGGUGCUAACGUCCGUCGUGAAGAGGGAAACAACCCAGACCGCCAGCUAAGGUCCCAAAGUCAUGGUUAAGUGGGAAACGAUGUGGGAAGGCCCAGACAGCCAGGAUGUUGGCUUAGAAGCAGCCAUCAUUUAAAGAAAGCGUAAUAGCUCACUGGUCGAGUCGGCCUGCGCGGAAGAUGUAACGGGGCUAAACCAUGCACCGAAGCUGCGGCAGCGACACUGAGGUGUUGUUGGGUAGGGGAGCGUUCUGUAAGCCUGUGAAGGUGGCCUGUGAGGGUUGCUGGAGGUAUCAGAAGUGCGAAUGCUGACAUAAGUAACGAUAAAGCGGGUGAAAAGCCCGCUCGCCGGAAGACCAAGGGUUCCUGUCCAACGUUAAUCGGGGCAGGGUGAGUCGACCCCUAAGGCGAGGCCGAAAGGCGUAGUCGAUGGGAAACGGGUUAAUAUUCCCGUACUUGGUGUUACUGCGAAGGGGGGACGGAGAAGGCUAUGUUGGCCGGGCGACGGUUGUCCCGGUUUAAGCGUGUAGGUGUGUGUUCCAGGUAAAUCCGGUUCACUUUAACACUGAGGCGUGAUGACGAGGCACUACGGUGCUGAAGCAACAAAUGCCCUGCUUCCAGGAAAAGCCUCUAAGCAUCAGGUAACAUCAAAUCGUACCCCAAACCGACACAGGUGGUCAGGUAGAGAAUACCAAGGCGCUUGAGAGAACUCGGGUGAAGGAACUAGGCAAAAUGGUGCCGUAACUUCGGGAGAAGGCACGCUGACACGUAGGUGAAGUGAUUUACUCACGGAGCUGAAGUCAGUCGAAGAUACCAGCUGGCUGCAACUGUUUAUUAAAAACACAGCACUGUGCAAACACGAAAGUGGACGUAUACGGUGUGACGCCUGCCCGGUGCCGGAAGGUUAAUUGAUGGGGUCAGCGCAAGCGAAGCUCCUGAUCGAAGCCCCGGUAAACGGCGGCCGUAACUAUAACGGUCCUAAGGUAGCGAAAUUCCUUGUCGGGUAAGUUCCGACCUGCACGAAUGGCGUAAUGAUGGCCAGGCUGUCUCCACCCGAGACUCAGUGAAAUUGAACUCGCUGUGAAGAUGCAGUGUACCCGCGGCAAGACGGAAAGACCCCGUGAACCUUUACUAUAGCUUGACACUGAACAUUGAGCCUUGAUGUGUAGGAUAGGUGGGAGGCUUUGAAGUGUGGACGCCAGUCUGCAUGGAGCCGACCUUGAAAUACCACCCUUUAAUGUUUGAUGUUCUAACGUGGACCCGUAAUCCGGGUUGCGGACAGUGUCUGGUGGGUAGUUUGACUGGGGCGGUCUCCUCCUAAAGAGUAACGGAGGAGCACGAAGGUUGGCUAAUCCUGGUCGGACAUCAGGAGGUUAGUGCAAUGGCAUAAGCCAGCUUGACUGCGAGCGUGACGGCGCGAGCAGGUGCGAAAGCAGGUCAUAGUGAUCCGGUGGUUCUGAAUGGAAGGGCCAUCGCUCAACGGAUAAAAGGUACUCCGGGGAUAACAGGCUGAUACCGCCCAAGAGUUCAUAUCGACGGCGGUGUUUGGCACCUCGAUGUCGGCUCAUCACAUCCUGGGGCUGAAGUAGGUCCCAAGGGUAUGGCUGUUCGCCAUUUAAAGUGGUACGCGAGCUGGGUUUAGAACGUCGUGAGACAGUUCGGUCCCUAUCUGCCGUGGGCGCUGGAGAACUGAGGGGGGCUGCUCCUAGUACGAGAGGACCGGAGUGGACGCAUCACUGGUGUUCGGGUUGUCAUGCCAAUGGCACUGCCCGGUAGCUAAAUGCGGAAGAGAUAAGUGCUGAAAGCAUCUAAGCACGAAACUUGCCCCGAGAUGAGUUCUCCCUGAGACUUAAAGUCUCCUGAAGGAACGUUGAAGACGACGACGUUGAUAGGCCGGGUGUGUAAGCGCAGCGAUGCGUUGAGCUAACCGGUACUAAUGAACCGUGAGGCUUAACCUUACAACGCCGAAG
rnacentral:rRNA from 1 species